CAUGUUCGGACUGUUGCGGAGAAAUCAGAUGUGCAUGAGUCUCGAUCGUGCCGGCCGUGACUAUCAAGCCUUCGGACGGAAUCGGUGUGGUCAUGUGCCCGACGGUCAUCCCCGGAGUCACGUCGGGCAUGACGUCGGGAUUACCCGCCUUGCCGAUACCCACGAUUAUUCCGUCACGAAUACCUAUGUCCGCCUUUAUGAUCCCCGUAACCGCAUCGACGAUGGUCGCGUUCGUGAACACGUAGUCCAGCGCCCCGGUCGACGACGUCGUAUUCGGUCGAUACCCCUCGCCGUCACG
rnacentral:sRNA from 1 species